rnacentral:rRNA from 1 species
GAUGAACGCUAGCUACAGGCUUAACACAUGCAAGUCGAGGGGUAACGAGAGGAAAGCUUGCUUUCCUUGUCGACGACCGGCGCACGGGUGAGUAACGCGUAUCCAACCUGCCCCCAACCAGGGAAUAACCUUGCGAAAGUAAGACUAAUACCCUAUAAUUUCCUCAGAUGACAUCUGACGAGGAAUAAAGAUUUAUCGGUUGUGGAUGGGGAUGCGUCUGAUUAGCUUGUUGGCGGGGUAACGGCCCACCAAGGCAACGAUCAGUAGGGGUUCUGAGAGGAAGGUCCCCCACAUUGGAACUGAGACACGGUCCAAACUCCUACGGGAGGCAGCAGUGAGGAAUAUUGGUCAAUGGGCGGAAGCCUGAACCAGCCAAGUAGCGUGCAGGAUGACGGCCCUAUGGGUUGUAAACUGCUUUUAUACAGGAAUAAAGUUAGCCACGUGUGGUUAUUUGUAGGUACUGUAUGAAUAAGGACCGGCUAAUUCCGUGCCAGCCGCCGCGUAA